UACGGAGGAUGCGAGCGUUAUCCGGAUUUGUUGGGUUUAAAGGGUGCGUAGGCGGGCUGCUAAGUCAGCGGUCAAAUGUCGGGGCUCAACCCCGGCCUGCCGUUGAAACUGGUGGCCUCGAGUGGGCGAGAAGUAUGCGGAAUGCGUGGUGUAGCGGUGAAAUGCAUAGAUAUCACGCGGAACUCCGAUUGCGAAGGCAGCAUACCGGCGCCCGACUGACGCUGAGGCACGAAAGCGUGGGUAUCAAACAGG
rnacentral:rRNA from 1 species